rnacentral:rRNA from 1 species
UACGUAGGGGGCAAGCGUUGUCCGGAAUCAUUGGGCGUAAAGAGCGUGUAGGCGGCCUGGUAAGUCCGCUGUGAAAGUCCAGGGCUCAACCCUGGAAUGCCGGUGGAAACUGUCGGGCUAGAGUGCGGAAGAGGCGAGUGGAAUUCCUGGUGUAGCGGUGAAAUGCGCAGAUAUCAGGAGGAACACCAAUGGCGAAGGCAGCUCGCUGGGACGGUACUGACGCUGAGGCGCGAAAGCGUGGGGAGCAAACAGG